CUUUUACUCCCUCCGUCCGAAAAUACUUGUCAUUGAAAUGGAUGUAUCUAGAUGUAUUUUAGUUCUAGACACAUCCAUUUUGAUGACAAGUAAUUCCGGACGGAGGGAGUACUUG
rnacentral:pre_miRNA from 1 species